rnacentral:lncRNA from 1 species
UCUUACUAGAGCUGGCCUUGUCUUAGGGGUUUCCAGAACCGUCCUGGUGGUUACACUGGAUUUAAAACUUAGGAUUUUCUAUUUCGAGACUCAAUGGAUUGCUGCCCUGAGGUUUAAGGCCUGGCAUUAUGCCUUGCAAGUAGUAUCUGGAGGUAAAGAGAGACCAGCUUGUGGAUUCCUCAGGCUGGGCCACCAUCCUGGCCGUGAUCUGGCUGCACAGCAAUGGUAAGGACUUGAAGUGUGAAUGGGAGCUUCUGGAAAGGAAGGCCGUGGCCUGGAUGCGUGCCCAUGCAGGCUCCACCAUGCCUUCGGUUGUGAAAGCUGCUAUUACUUUCCUGAAGUCAUCUGUGGAUCCUGCUAUCUUUGCCUUUUGAAGAUACCAUCCAGAAAAAGAAGUGCCUUUAAUUUGCUACUGUCAUUUCCUCUAGUAUCACUUUUGCUGUGAUGAUGUGUUCUUGUGUAUUAUAACUCUUUAUUUUUUGCCAUAAAAGUAAAGGAUGCUUACUCCACUUCGCUUCUCUGCUCCAGGUUCACUUUGGAUAUGAUCUUUCUUUUCCCAACAUAUGCCCUCAGAAAAGUGACAGUGGUCCCAGAACCUAUUCCCUUUCUUGAGGGAGUUCAAAACAUUCAUAGGCAGUAAUGUUCCUCCCAGGGUUUCCAGGGAAACAACAUGAAAAACAGGUGACAUGAACUACAGACUAAAGAUUGCAGCAUUUAUGUUAGAGAAUGCUUGAAUUAGAGAAUUUUCUGCAUUAUCUUUGUCUGUUCACUUUCUAUCUUAUAUACUUAUCAGGGCCAUACUGGUAAGCUUGCGUAGGAGGAGUUAGAGGGAAGUUGAAAGCCAACAUCUGGAUCAAUGUAAUGUCAAGAUCACAAAGACAGAGACUGCAGGGGUCCACUGUGAGAGGUGACACUGUUGGGGACCUUCCUGAUUCAUUCUUCUUGGGCUUUGCUAGCCUGUACAACCUACAUGUCUUUUCUUCCACUGCCUGAAAGACUUGGGUUGAACUAUAACUGUUGGAGAGAGAUGUUCCUCUUUAAUCAUGAAACACCUUAAGAAGUCUAUAAUGCAAUCCUUAGUCCUACCCUGAACCUAUGUGUCCUCUAAGUCAGGCCCUGAUCUAGUGCAGUAAAGGGAAGGGUGGGCUUAAUGGGAGCUUUGCCUGGGACCUGAACCUGGAGCACUUACCGCAUUAGGAAGAAAGGAGCUCCCCGUAAUCGUUCCUGACCCUUGUGUCUCAUAUACCCUAUCCUGGUGGAAAUGACCCUAUUUGAUAUGCUGUCCCUUAAAAUAACUUGUAUCAAUAUUAAAAUGACUAUUUCUACCCUUUGAUGAGU